CGUUCUUCUUCAUCCUUCGUUCUUCUUCUUCUUCUUCUUUCCUUUUCUUCUUCUCCUUCCCAUACGUCCUCAUUCACCUUCCUUUAAUUUCUGCGCCCUGCACCCUUGAAUGGCGCGUCAUCUCCACCUUCAUCGGCCGUUAAUCGCGCUCCGCCGCCGUCUUCCUCGACCUGUCGAUAGCGAGUCACCACUGCCUACCAACGUCCUAAAAUGCCAACCCUAGAUUUUUCCGAUCAAGUGAGCAUCGAAGGUUUGGCUAUGUACAAUUGUAAGUAAAAUUUGCUUUUUUAAUAAUUUUUUUUCUGGAUUUUGUGAGUGGUACUAGUUUUGAUAUUGAUUCUCAAUUGUAAGUGUUGCCAUUGAAGAUACUAAUCGUUUCAUUGAGUUGAAGAAUUAUUCAGCUGUUGGAGGUAGAAAGAUUCUAGUUAAAAAUGCCAUGUACGGUGCUCAUCUUGAGCAGCUUCGAACAAAAGACAAUGAAGAUUUGAUUAGUCACGGCAGUAUGGCUAUAAUUGACACUAUUUCAGGUAGAUAGGCUUCAGACGUUGUACAGAAGUUGAGAAGAUGACCCGGAUGUUGGGUAAAGAGACAAGGCAUUUGCAGCUAAUGGUGAUAAUUGUGUCCAUCUAUAAUAUGUUGAAAGAAGGAAAUCUAGAAACUUGCAAGCAUUUCUUCUGGAUAAUAUACAGUUUUAUAUACUUUCUCGGUUAUACCAUUAAUAUAGUAAAGGUUUUCUUCACGGCUGCUACCAUUCAGGAGGCUGCGCUAAUUCACGAACGAUAUCUGAAGUGCAACACUCUGUGAGUUUGUCCACGUCGAGCCAAUCGACUAGACAUUCAAGGAUCUCGUUCGUCACACCUAACUGCCGUGUAUAUUCACUUUGACGCUGCAUGGGGCGAUGUAGCGUUGCAUGUAAUUCUAUGAUGAUAACUUUUGUUUUUGGAUUGAUACUGACUAAGUCCUUUACAUAUGUUGAACUUGCAUAUGUUGCUUCCUUUUGUGUGUUUGUUGCUAUGAUUUGCCUUUGGAUUGUAUAUGUUGGUUGUAUUGCGGACUAGUUAUG